rnacentral:tRNA from 1 species
GCCCCUUUGGUGGAAUUGGUAGACACGCCGGAUUUAGGUUCCGGUGCCGAAAGGCGUGAGAGUUCGAGUCUCUCAGGGGGCACCA